UUGAAUUUUCUUGGCUUCAAUUAUUUGUCAAUUGCACUAAAUGCUUGCAGAAGUACAAAACAGUUAAUAUGAUAGCUGAGAAGUCCUUUGUCGCCAUGGUUAUCCUCACACAGCUGUGAAUAGGGUGGAAAGAAGGGGAAAAUGGUAUAUCAGAAAGCACCAUGAAUGUAAAAACAGCAGGAAGACAGAAAGCCAAGCAGACAGAUCCAGAGAGCUUACUUGA
rnacentral:lncRNA from 1 species